AUUAUUAUCUCCAGGGGAGAUACCAUGAUCAUGAAGGUGGUUUUCCCAGCGAGGCUUAUCCAUUGCACUCCGGAUGUGCUGAUCCCCGCAAUUUCCCCAAAUGUGGGAAACUCGACUGCAUAAUUUGUGAUAGUGAGGGACUGCGUUUGCGCUUUCCCCUG
rnacentral:snRNA from 1 species